rnacentral:rRNA from 1 species
UGAAUACGAGAUGCUACGGCGUCGAAGCAGUCUAUGUCAUACUUCCAAGAAAAGCUUGCACUGUCAUAAACAAAUAAUGCCUGUACCAUAACCGACACAGGUGGGUAGGUAGAGUAUACUAAGGGGCGCGAGAUAACUCUCUCUAAGGAACUCGGCAAAAUGACUCCGUAACUUCGGGAGAAGGAGUGCCUUAUUUAUAAGGUUGCAAUAACAAGAUCCAAGCAACUGUUUACCAAAAACACAGGUCUCCGCUAAGUCGUAAGACGAUGUAUGGGGGCUGACGCCUGCCCAGUGCCAGAAGGUUAAAGAAGUUGGUUAGCAUCUGCGAAGCUGAUAACUGAAGCCCUGGUGAACGGCGGCCGUAACAAUAACGGUCCUAAGGUAGCGAAAUUCCUUGUCGGGUAAGUUCCGACCCGCACGAAAGGCGUAAUGAUUUGGAUACUGUCUCGGAGAGGGGCUCGGUGAAAUAGACUUGUCUGUGAAGAUGCGGACUACCUGCACCAGGACAGAAAGACCCUAUGAAGCUUUACUGUAACCUGAAAUUGAAAUUGGACUUUACUUGCGCAGUAUAGGUGGGAGGCGUUGAGAAUAUUCUUGCGGGAUUAUUGGAGCCAUCAGUGAGAUACCACUCUUGUAAUGUUAGAUUUCUAACUUUGUAUCAUUAUCUGGUCAAAGAACAGUUUCAGGCGGGCAGUUUGACUGGGGCGGUCGCCUCCUAAACGGUAACGGAGGCGCACAAAGGUUUCCUCUGAACGGGUAGAAAUCGUAUCUAGAGUGUAAAGGCAUAAGGAAGCUUGACUGUGAGACCUACAAGUCGAGCAGGGACGAAAGUCGGUCUUAGUGAUCUGACGGUGCUGAGUGGAAAGGCCGUCACUCAACGGAUAAAAGUUACUCUAGGAUAACAGGCUGAUCUCCCCCAAGAGUUCACAUCGACGGGGAGGUUUGGCACCUCGAUGUCGGCUCAUCGCAUCCUGGGGCGGUAGUACGUCCCAAGGGUUGGGCUGUUCGCCCAUGAAAGCGGUACGCGAGCUGGGUUCAGAACGUCGUGAGACAGUUCGGUCCAUAUCCGGUGUAGGCGUUAGAAUAUUGAGAGGAGCCUUCUUUAGUACGAGAGGACCGAGAAGGACAUACCUCUGGUGUACCAGUUAUCGUGCCAACGGUAAACGCUGGGUAGCUAUGUGUGGAGUGGAUAACCGCUGAAAGCAUCUAAGUGGGAAGCCCACCUCAAGAUAAG